rnacentral:rRNA from 1 species
GUCUAUAGCCAUGCCAUCCUGAACAAGCCUGAUCCCAUCUGAUCUCAGAAGCUAAGCGGGGUCGGGCCUGGUUAGUACUUGGAUGGGAGACCACCUAGGAAGACCAGGUGCAAUAGGUG